rnacentral:rRNA from 1 species
UGGUUGGACACCAAGCCUGUGUAAUACUCCUUCGACGAGUCGAGUAGUUUGGGAAUGCUGCUCUAAAUGGGAGGUAAAUCUCUUCUAAAGCUAAAUACCGGCCAGAGACCGAUAGCGCACAAGUAGAGUGAUCGAAAGAUGAAAAGCACCUUGAAAAGGGGGUUAAACAGUACGUGAAAUUGUUGAAAGGGAAGCGUUUAUGACCAGACUUGUGCCGUGUGGCUCAUCCGGGGUUCUCCCCGGUGCACUCCAUACGGUUCAGGCCAACAUCGGUUCUCGUUGGGGGAUAAGAACAGUAGGAACGUGGCCCUCUUCGGAGGGUGUUAUAGCCUAUUGUACGAUACCUUGAUGGGGACCGAGGACCGCGGAUGUUG